rfam:Dictyocaulus viviparus strain HannoverDv2000 D_viviparus-1.0_Cont632.3, whole genome shotgun sequence.
GUUUCCGUAGUGUAGCGGUUAACAAUCUGGUCUUUGAAUCCAGUAACGAGAGUUCGAAUGUUACCAGAACCU